rnacentral:rRNA from 1 species
CACGUAGGGCGCAAGCGUUGUCCGGAAUUAUUGGGCGUAAAGAGCUCGUAGGCGGUCUGUCGCGUCCGCUGUGAAAACUCGGGGCUUAACCCCGAGCCUGCAGUGGAUACGGGCAGACUAGAGGUAGGUAGGGGAGAAUGGAAUUCCCGGUGUAGCGGUGAAAUGCGCAGAUAUCGGGAGGAACACCGGUGGCGAAGGCGGUUCUCUGGGCCUUACCUGACGCUGAGGAGCGAAAGCGUGGGGAGCGAACAGG